AUUUACUAGUUUACAACUUUGUGACAUACAGAGAUGUCUUACUCAUACGUUCAUCAUCUUGGAUGAUUUAUAUUCUUAUCUUCUUCUUAUAACCACUACUACAAAAUAGUAAAUAGACAACACUUAAACCACAACGUUUUUUAUAAAAAUGUUGAGGUAUUUUUUUCACAAUAUUUUUUAAUAAAACGUUGUAGAUACAUAUAAAAAAUGUUAUCUAUUUAAAAGAGCAUUUUUUUGAUUUUAACUACAUAAUGUUUUUUAAAAAAAACGUUAUCUUAUGCAAAAAACACAGAGCAAUGAAUAAAAACGUGGAACAAAAUUUGAAAUUAAAACGCGACCAUACUUUCUUCUCUCCUAUCUCUGUACGCCAGAUCUGAAAUUCCUCACUCCUCAGCCUCUUUCCUCUCGACUGUGGCCUCUCUUCCCCAUCACCGUCCCUCAAACUGGUUCAAUCGUCCCCUAACUGGUCCAAUCGUCCCCUGAAGGAGACAAACCAGUCCCAAGAUUUCGAUGAACAAGAAGACCAGUCAUCGAAGAGUCGAGAAUACGUGACGAAAAAGAGAAAAUGGAGAACCUACUCCGUCGACUCACGUCAGGGAGAGUUCCGCUGCGAGUACUCGACGUUUUAAUUAAGGGAAACACCAAGACGAAGGACCAACUCAUCGAAGCCCUAAAAACUGAUCGAUGCGAGUCCGCUCCUAGGUUUGUUUUAAUUGAUUUUUGAUGAAUAAAUUUUCAAGUUCUGAGUUUUUAUUGUGUUUUAUAGCUGAGUAUUGAUGUUUGCAGUAGGAAUUUAUUUUUACAAACCUCUUUUAAGUGGUUAGGUAUUGGAUUUUCAUUUUCUGCAGUGAGACUAAUGGUUUAAGUAUGUUUUGUUAUUUUGCUAUUAAAUUGAUGGUUUUGCGAUUUGGGCUUGAGAAAUUGGGGUAAUUUAUUUUUGAGGUUUUUGAUUUGUUUUGUUUAGGUCAAGACUGGAAUGACGAUGACUGAAAAGAUAUUGGCUAGGGCUUCUGAGAAACCCCAAUUGAGCCCCGAUGAAAAUGUUUGGGUUAAUUUUGAACACAAUAAUCCGUGACCUGUGAUGAACCAAACACCUGCAAGUACAUAAUAUGAAAUCAAGAUGAGAAUUUUUUUAAUUAGAAACAAUUAUUCCUAGAAUAUUUUUUCCCAGUGAAGUGACAUAAUAAUGUUAUUACAUGUUUAAGUUACCUGGAUUAUCUGCACGAAAUCUAAUAGAUGUCCAUCCACCGGAUGGUACGCCAAUUGUGUUCCUCUCAACAGGGUCAACAAGAUUAAAUUUCUUGGAAUCUGUCUUGGAUUAAAGUUUCCAAGUCCUCUCCCAACCUCGAAGAAAUUGAAUCCAUAUAGAUGAAUUGGAUGGUUCUCCGGGGAUAUAAUACCAGUGUCUUAAAGAAACACUUGGACUGUGGAGUUGUAAGACAACCUAUAAAGUUUUGUUCCGGUUGUGGUUCCUAAGUUUGCCGG
rnacentral:lncRNA from 1 species